ACAAGCUCUGCCUGAAAAGCAACAGCUGUGUUGCCAGAGUGACCCCUCUCGCUAAUAGACGAGCUGCGCUGGAUGCUCGGGCAGCGCUCUCAUGCCUGCUGUGCGCUCUGACUCCGGGAGGAUGGACGGUGUGUCGUUAGGACACUGCCUCUCAUGUCUUACCAGUCUGGUGGCCCCACCGGCCUCGCCACGUCCAAACUGCCCCACGGAUUCAGAGGAGGACACGGUGAACGGAGGGAUUCACACGUUCAACCAGACACACAUGAGGAAAGCCUUCCAGCUGAUGAACGAUCUGAGGAGUAAAAAGAUGCUGUGUGACGUACAGCUGGUGGCGGGUAGCGUUGAAGUUCCAGCCCACCGGGUGGUCCUGGCAUCCUGUAGCCCUUACUUCUGUGCCAUGUUCACAGGUGACAUGAGCGAGAGCAAAGCCCACCAGGUGGAGAUCAGGGAGGUGGACGGCCAGACUCUGAGGAAACUGGUGGACUAUAUUUACACAGCUGAGAUAGAGGUUACAGAGGAUAAUGUCCAGGUUCUCCUGCCAGCAGCCAGCCUCCUACAGCUGAUGGACGUUCGUCAGGUCUGCUGUGAGUUCCUGCAGUCACAGCUUCAUCCCACCAACUGUCUGGGCAUCCGAGCCUUUGCUGACCUGCACACCUGCACGCAGCUUCUCAGCCAGGCCCAUGCGUACGCUGAGCAGCAUUUCUCUGAGGUGGUGCAGGGCGAGGAGUUCCUGGGUCUGUCUCUACAGCAGGUGUCCAGCCUGAUCUCCAGUGACCAACUCACAGUCUCCACCGAGGAAAAGGUGUUUGAGGCGAUGAUAUCUUGGAUCAAAUACGACAAACCGACUCGUCUGGAGUACAUGCCCAAACUGAUGGAGCACGUAAGACUCCCACUGCUGUCCAGGGAUUACCUCGUCAAGAUUGUUGAGGAAGAAGCCUUAAUAAAGAACAACAACACCUGCAAAGACUUUCUCAUCGAAGCAAUGAAGUAUCACCUGCUGCCGGCCGACCAGCGCCACCUCAUCAAGACGGACCGAACACGACCACGGACUCCUGUCAGCAUCCCCAAGGUGAUGAUUGUGGUGGGGGGUCAGGCUCCUAAAGCCAUCCGCGGCGUGGAGUGUUACGACUUCCAGGAAGAUCGCUGGUACCAGGUUGCUGAUCUGCCUUCCAGACGCUGCCGGGCAGGCGUGGUUUCCAUGGCGGGCCGAGUGUACGCGGUGGGCGGGUUCAACAGUUCGCUGCGGGAGCGGACCGUAGACGUUUACGACGGAGCGAGGGACCAGUGGAGCGCCGCGGCAAGCAUGCAGGAGAGACGCAGCACACUGGGAGCAGCUGUUCUGGGAGACCUGCUGUACGCUGUGGGAGGCUUUAAUGGAAGUAUAGGUCUGUCGACUGUUGAAGUUUACAAUCAAAAAACCAACGAGUGGACGUACGUGACCUCUAUGAACACCCGACGCAGCAGCGUGGGUGUCGGCGUAGUCGAUGGUAAACUGUACGCAGUGGGAGGUUACGACGGCGCUUCACGUCAGUGUCUCAGCACAGUGGAAGAAUACGACCCCGUCUCAGAUCAGUGGUGCUAUGUGGCUGAUAUGAGCACACGGAGAAGUGGAGCAGGUGUGGGGGUCCUGGGCGGACUGCUCUACGCAGCAGGAGGACAUGAUGGUCCUCUGGUGAGGAAGAGCGUGGAGGUGUACGACCCCCAGAGCAACGUGUGGAGGCUGGUCAGCGACAUGAACAUGUGUCGCAGAAAUGCAGGUGUUUGUGCCAUAAACGGGCUGCUGUAUGUGAUCGGAGGAGAUGAUGGUUCCUGUAACCUCUCCUCUGUGGAGUUUUAUAAUCCGGUCACCGAUAAAUGGAGCCUUAUUCCCACCAACAUGAGCAACGGCCGCAGCUAUGCCGGGGUCGCAGUGAUCGACAAGCCGCUAUGACCCCGGCUCGUCCCACAGCAGAGUCCGAUUCACAGAGACCCUAACUGAUGAUUCCACUGAGAGCCUCCAUGUUUAGCAAACCUGCUGCUGGUCAGAACAGUUUCUAUUGGAGUUCAGGGACAUUUGAAGAAACUGUUGCUCUGGGUGAGAACCCCGCAGGCCCGGUACCAUGGGUUCAGAAGAACUUCCAGUCAGACGUUUUCAAAUGCAAAACAGAUCAGCAGCCAGGAAUACACUGCACAGAAAAAACAAACUGACAUAAAUGCACUAAACAGAGACGGUUCUUCACUUGAACAGUGGUUCUGUUCAUCUGCGUUCCGUUUCUGACCUUGGCAACAGACCAGCAGACUCUGGAAACUGGCAAUAAUCUGUGGGAUUUGCUAAUCUUACCAUAAAUGGAGGAAAAUCAGCUCAUGGUGACGAUUUGUCGGUGAAAUCAGAACCAAUCAGUGUUUGACUGGUGCAGCUGGUUCUUAUGUCCGACUCGCUUCAGCUGUCCGCAGUAUUAGUCCUCAGCCUGAACGUCUGAAACCCGGAAAGCUGCAAUAUAAAGAAUAUAAGCUGGUGGGACUUACCAGAAAACACUACUGAUGUUCUGAUUCUGUGCACUGAACGCAAACCUCUGCGCGUCUCUUCCAACCUGCCAACAAGCUGCUUCACCUUCACAUUUUAGAGGCCAUAAACUCAUGACAAACUUUGUGGGACGUGCCA